rnacentral:rRNA from 1 species
GAUGAACGCUGGCGGCGUGCUUAACACAUGCAAGUCGAACGGAAAGGCCCAAGCUUGCUUGGGUACUCGAGUGGCGAACGGGUGAGUAACACGUGGGUGAUCUGCCCUGCACUUCGGGAUAAGCCUGGGAAACUGGGUCUAAUACCGGAUAGGACGAUGGUUUGGAUGCCAUUGUGGAAAGUUUUUUCGGUGUGGGAUGAGCUCGCGGCCUAUCAGAUUGUUGGUGGGGUAAUGGCCUACCAAGGCGUCGACGGGUAGCCGGCCUGAGAGGGUGUACGGCCACAUUGGGACUGAGAUACGGCCCAGACUCCUACGGGAGGCAGCAGUGGGGAAUAUUGCACAAUGGGCGCAAGCCUGAUGCAGCGAAGCCGCGUGGGGGAUGACGGCAUUCGGGUUGUAAACCCCUUUCGCUAGGGACGAAGCGUUUUUGUGACGGUACCUGGAGAAGAAGCACCGGCUAACUACGUG